rnacentral:lncRNA from 1 species
AAUCUCAAGCUUCUAGAAAUUUGGCACACUCACCAAAGAACUGAAUACUCCUUUGCAGUCAGACCAUGUGUUCCAGACAACAUAACUAGAAAGAUGUGAGAAGGCACUUCAUGUGGGAGAUAAGCCUUGUUUUACUUAAUACACUGAGAUGUCAGAGUUAAUUGUUACAGCAGCAGCCUGUUGUAUAGGCUGACUAACACAUGGUAACUAACAGAACACUUUGGAUUCUUGACAAAAUAAGAGCAAGAAAGCAUCAGCAGAAGCAGAAUUCAGAGGGCGAGAAACCAAAAGCAACAGAGCAAGAUCUACUCUCUACACAUCGACAUCCUGCUCUCUUCCAGGGAGAGUAACCUACAUGAACCAUACCAGUGGUUCCCAUCCAGGACAGUUCCCACUCACCUCCCCAGGGACAUUUAGAAAUAUCUAGAGACAUUUUUGCAUAUCACAAAAUGCAAAAAAAAAAAAAUGUACCCUGCAAAGCCACAAGAGCAGAGCAGACCAA